GCUGAGACAAAUUUCAGUCCACAGAACUCGAGGAACUUCCAAACCCAAGGCUUGUUCCCAUAGCAACUGCAUUUACACAGCUUCACUUAACGCAUUAUUGCCUUUUCUUAUGAGUUGUCAGAGCAGAGUCUGGCAGUCUAAAACUCUGCUAGGACACUGCUUUUACUACAUUUGUAACCUAAUCUACAGGUGCUACUAUACUCCAAACUCUUAAAUUUAUUUUUGCACUCUACUCUGAGUUACAUUUGAUCUUGAAAGUGAGGAAUAUUAGCACAAAUUCAGACUGAAAUAACAAAAACACAGCAAUUCAAAUCUCACUGAAACAGACAACCCAGAGUAGCACAUAAAGCUUUUCAUCUAUGUUUUUUAUGACAAUAAGCUGUUGCUAACUUCAUGAUGGACAACACCCCUACUUUUUUAGUUGUUAAUAUCUAUUAUUUCAAGAGUUGCUUUUCUGGAAACAUUAAAUUUUUCAGAAUCAAGUCAAGGAAAACAGUAUACUUCUGUUGGUAAAGGAAAUUCUUAAUAAUGGGAUGAACCAAACACUAAAGGAAUGAAAAUAUUUGACUUUAAGCUCUGAAAAACCCCUACCCUCUGCAUUACAGAUUAUGAAGGAAACAUCAGAUUGUCAAUAGACCAUAAGCUCUACAGGAAAAAAAAGAACUAAAUAUAACACAACAACCUGAGAAGAGGGUCUGGUGUGAUGAAGGACCUACAAGAACAGACUGAGCUAGCUACUGACAGAUGUUCACAGACUACUUCAGUAAUCACAGUGUUCAUUGCCUUUGCUGCUGCUGGCUCUGCAGACCCGACGCCUUUCCGGCACCCUGGUUUUUCAUGAAGAGGCAUCUGACAAAUAUUACAGAGACACAACCUGAGCAGCCUUUCUUGCCACUGCUGCACUUGUCAGCAAUUUUGUGUCCAUAGAACAGAAACCAAAGAAAUAAUAUAAUUCUGCCAGUUAGGGAAGUGGCCUAUGGUUAAACUAAUUACAGCAAUUUUUUUUAAAGCUGCCUCAAGCUUAAAUGCUUCAUGAUACAAU
rnacentral:lncRNA from 1 species